GAAUUCGCCCUUAGAGUUUGAUCCUGGCUCAGGACGAACGCUGGCGGCGCGCCUAACACAUGCAAGUCGAACGGAACUUGAGAGAGCUUGCUUUUUAAGUUUAGUGGCGAACGGGUGAGUAACGCGUGAGUAACCUGCCCUGGAGUGGGGGACAACAGUUGGAAACGACUGCUAAUACCGCAUAAGCCCACAGUGCCGCAUGGCACAGCGGGAAAAGGAUUUAUUCGCUUCAGGAUGGACUCGCGUCCAAUUAGCUAGUUGGUGAGGUAACGGCACACCAAGGCGACGAUUGGUAGCCGGACUGAGAGGUUGAACGGCCACAUUGGGACUGAGACACGGCCCAGACUCCUACGGGAGGCAGCAGUGGGGGAUAUUGCACAAUGGGGGAAACCCUGAUGCAGCGACGCCGCGUGGAGGAAGAAGGUUUUCGGAUUGUAAACUCCUGUCGUUAGGGACGAUAAUGACGGUACCUAACAAGAAAGCACCGGCUAACUACGUGCCAGCAGCCGCGGUAAAACGUAGGGUGCAAGCGUUGUCCGGAAUUACUGGGUGUAAAGGGAGCGCAGGCGGACCGGCAAGUUGGAAGUGAAAUCUAUGGGCUCAACCCAUAAAUUGCUUUCAAAACUGCUGGCCUUGAGUAGUGCAGAGGUAGGUGGAAUUCCCGGUGUAGCGGUGGAAUGCGUAGAUAUCGGGAGGAACACCAGUGGCGAAGGCGACCUACUGGGCACCAACUGACGCUGAGGCUCGAAAGCAUGGGUAGCAAACAGGAUUAGAUACCCUGGUAGUCCAUGCCGUAAACGAUGAUUACUAGGUGUUGGAGGAUUGACCCCUUUCAGUGCCGCAGUUAACACAAUAAGUAAUCCACCUGGGGAGUACGACCGCAAGGUUGAAACUCAAAGGAAUUGACGGGGGCCCGCACAAGCAGUGGAGUAUGUGGUUUAAUUCGAAGCAACGCGAAGAACCUUACCAGGUCUUGACAUCCGAUGCAUAGUGCAGAGAUGCAUGAAGUCCUUCGGGACAUCGAGACAGGUGGUGCAUGGUUGUCGUCAGCUCGUGUCGUGAGAUGUUGGGUUAAGUCCCGCAACGAGCGCAACCCUUAUUGCCAGUUACUACGCAAGAGGACUCUGGCGAGACUGCCGUUGACAAAACGGAGGAAGGUGGGGAUGACGUCAAAUCAUCAUGCCCUUUAUGACCUGGGCUACACACGUACUACAAUGGCGUUUAACAAAGAGAAGCAAGACCGCGAGGUGGAGCAAAACUCAAAAACAACGUCUCAGUUCAGAUUGCAGGCUGCAACUCGCCUGCGUGAAGUCGGAAUUGCUAGUAAUCGCGGAUCAGCAUGCCGCGGUGAAUACGUUCCCGGGCCUUGUACACACCGCCCGUCA
rnacentral:rRNA from 1 species